CUGCUGGCAAAAUCAGGCCCGUGAGCCGCAGAAAGUCAACUUCACUUGGAAGGAGGAGCCAGCAUUUGGAUCCCAAGGGUUGUUUAUUUUGACUCACUGCUGUUUUUGCUGGAGAAGGGUAAAACAGAAAGUUCCUUUACUUUGGCUAAGAUGUGGCACACAUAACUGCCCUGAGCCCGAAUUUCUGAUGAGCAAAUAGAAGCGGACCAGUGGUUCAAUCUUCCUUCAUCAUCUUCAAAAAGAAUAACACCCAAGGGCACAUAGGAUUGGCUUCUCUACAUUUCAAUUUAAGAGAAAUGGAAAGAAGACUCAUCUACCACUGAAGAUACCUGAACUCAAAAAUGAAAAAUAAGAUGGCCUCCCUGAUCAGCUCCAGGUUCUUCCUUCCUAGUUCUGGCUCCUGGACACCUCAUGACCACAUUGCGCAUUUGCACUCUUAGUGAGUGCUGCUCAUAACAGGGUAUUAUGAUUCCUCUUAUAGAGUCCACCUUUCAUUCCAAAUUGUGAGGCUGCUGGAUGGCAGAAUAAGUUCUGGG
rnacentral:lncRNA from 10 species